CAGGAUUUAGUUUAUAGAAAAUAAUUCAUUUACGUUGAAUAGAAUUGUUGGUGCGAUCUUUAAUUCCUGA
rnacentral:tRNA from 1 species